rnacentral:rRNA from 1 species
CCUACGGGCGGCAGCAGUGGGGAAUAUUGGGCAAUGGGCGCAAGCCUGACCCAGCAACGCCGCGUGAAGGAAGAAGGCUUUCGGGUUGUAAACUUCUUUUUUCAGGGACGUAGCAAGUGACGGUACCUGCUGAAUAAGCCACGGCUAACUAUGUGCCAGCAGCCGCGGUAAUACGUAGGUGGCAAGCGUUAGCCGGAUUUACUGGGUGUAAAGGUCGUGUAGGCGGGAGUGCAAGUCAGAUGUGAAAACUAUGGGCUGAACCCAUAGACUGCAUUUGAAACUGUACUUCUUGAGUGCUGGUGAGGCAAUCGGAAUUCCGUGUGUAGCGGUGAAAUGCGUAGAUAUACGGAAGAACACCAGUGGCGAAGGCGGAUUGCUGAACAGUAACUGACACUGAGGCGCGAAAGCGUGGGGAGCAAACAGGAUUAGAUACCCCAGUAGUC